rnacentral:tRNA from 2 species
CGCGGGAUGGAGCAGUUGGCAGCUCGUCGGGCUCAUAACCCGAAGGUCGGAGGUUCGAGUCCUUCUCCCGCUACCA